UAUAAUUUUAUAGGAAACAAGUUCCUAUUGAUGACAUUCUAUAAACAUGCUUUGGUGUAUAUAAAAACAUAGUCUUGGAAAUGAAAGGAAACACGGCAAUCCUAAAAUCCGAGUUGCCUCGAGAGGUAUCCAAGACUACAAAAUGUGCACAGGUGGAGAUAAAAAUGACGGACGAGCACAUGCUUCAAAAAAGCCAGCUAACAGCCACAUCAGGUUUAUUCAAUAAUGAUCCUUCCGCAGGUUCACCUACGGAAA
rnacentral:misc_RNA from 1 species